rnacentral:rRNA from 1 species
GUAGGUGGCAAGCGUUGUCCGGAAUUAUUGGGCGUAAAGCGCGCGCAGGGCGGCCCUUUAAGUCUGAUGUGAAAGCCCACGGCUCAACCGUGGAGGGUCAUUGGAAACUGGGGGACUUGAGUACAGAAGAGGAAAGCGGAAUUCCACGUGUAGCGGUGAAAUGCGUAGAGAUGUGGAGGAACACCAGUGGCGAAGGCGGCUUUCUGGUCUGUAACUGACGCUGAGGCGCGAAAGCGUGGGGAGCAAACAGGAUUAGAUACCCUGGUAGUCCACGCCGUAAACGAUGAGUGCUAAGUGUUAGGGGGUUUCCGCCCCUUAGUGCUGCAGCUAACGCAUUAAGCACUCCGCCUGGGGAGUACGGCCGCAAGGCUG